GACGAACGCUGGCGGCGUGCUUAACACAUGCAAGUCGAACGGAAAGGCCCUGCUUUUGUGGGGUGCUCGAGUGGCGAACGGGUGAGUAACACGUGAGUAACCUGCCCUUGACUUUGGGAUAACUUCAGGAAACUGGGGCUAAUACCGGAUAGGAGCUCCUGCUGCAUGGUGGGGGUUGGAAAGUUUCGGCGGUUGGGGAUGGACUCGCGGCUUAUCAGCUUGUUGGUGGGGUAGUGGCUUACCAAGGCUUUGACGGGUAGCCGGCCUGAGAGGGUGACCGGCCACAUUGGGACUGAGAUACGGCCCAGACUCCUACGGGAGGCAGCAGUGGGGAAUAUUGCACAAUGGGCGGGAGCCUGAUGCAGCAACGCCGCGUGCGGGAUGACGGCCUUCGGGUUGUAAACCGCUUUCGCCUGUGACGAAGCGUGAGUGACGGUAAUGGGUAAAGAAGCACCGGCUAACUACGUG
rnacentral:rRNA from 1 species